GAGAGGGGAUGAUAUGCAGCAAAGGGCCGCGGGCCGGACUCGAACCCAUGGCCGCUGUGGUUAGGACUGAACCUAUGUCGUACCAGAAGAAAUCAGCGGGAGCUAACCCACUGGAGGACGGGAGGCAGUGGAUUUAACUUCUACCAGAGAAAACUUCCUGGAUGCUCUUGCUUCCUGGCUCUCCUGCCGAGCAGAGAAACGGUGGUCUCCGGUAAAGUGGCUCAGAACAACACGGACAGAUCAGAUCAUGCAACAGAUGCAAAGAUGAUGACAACUUCAAGAGCUAGGCUCCUGCCAAGUCCCAGGACCAAGCUUCCUCCACCUUCAUUUGUUUUCUGUCCUUCCGUCUGCCACCUGAAACUGGGUUUGCGCUGCGAGCCUAGUGUGAAAUGACAUAAUGCUCAGAGUCAGUGAGCAGCUUCGAUCUUUGUCACCUUGAACGCCAGCUGUGCCUUGGCGCCACGACGAUAACAUCACCAUGGAUAUUGAUGUAAAAGAAUGUAAGGUUGAGGCAAGAAAACAGUUGUCAUACUGCAGAAAAAACAUCAUACAUUUCAUUCAUUAUGUAGUUUAUAAGAUAAUACAGUUUCUCUUUUAUUUUCUUCCUUAAGUGAUGUAUUUUUUUAACUUUGAUUUAUCGCCUGUUUUAUUGUUUGUGUCUAUUCUAAUUUAUAGUAUUUGAUAUGUUUAUACAUUUUCCGUGUGUAUGUAGCGUGGAGUGAUUUCAUUGUGUUCUCCUGUAUUG